GCGACCUUAGUUUAAUGGUAGAAUGCGACCUUCCCAAGGUCAUGACGCGGGUUCGAUUCCCGUAGGUCGCU
rnacentral:tRNA from 1 species